GAUGAACGCUGGCGGCGUGCCUAAUACAUGCAAGUCGAGCGAACGGACGAGAAGCUUGCUUCUCUGAUGUUAGCGGCGGACGGGUGAGUAACACGUGGAUAACCUACCUAUAAGACUGGGAUAACUUCGGGAAACCGGAGCUAAUACCGGAUAAUAUUUUGAACCGCAUGGUUCAAAAGUGAAAGACGGUCUUGCUGUCACUUAUAGAUGGAUCCGCGCUGCAUUAGCUAGUUGGUAAGGUAACGGCUUACCAAGGCAACGAUGCAUAGCCGACCUGAGAGGGUGAUCGGCCACACUGGAACUGAGACACGGUCCAGACUCCUACGGGAGGCAGCAGUAGGGAAUCUUCCGCAAUGGGCGAAAGCCUGACGGAGCAACGCCGCGUGAGUGAUGAAGGUCUUCGGAUCGUAAAACUCUGUUAUUAGGGAAGAACAUAUGUGUAAGUAACUGUGCACAUCUUGACGGUACCUAAUCAGAAAGCCACGGCUAACUACGUGCCAGCAGCCGCGGUAAUACGUANGUGGCAAGCGUUAUCCGGAAUUAUUGGGCGUAAAGCGCGCGUAGGCGGUUUUUUAAGUCUGAUGUGAAAGCCCACGGCUCAACCGUGGAGGGUCAUUGGAAACUGGAAAACUUGAGUGCAGAAGAGGAAAGUGGAAUUCCAUGUGUAGCGGUGAAAUGCGCAGAGAUAUGGAGGAACACCAGUGGCGAAGGCGACUUUCUGGUCUGUAACUGACGCUGAUGUGCGAAAGCGUGGGGAUCAAACAGGAUUAGAUACCCUGGUAGUCCACGCCGUAAACGAUGAGUGCUAAGUGUUAGGGGGUUUCCGCCCCUUAGUGCUGCAGCUAACGCAUUAAGCACUCCGCCUGGGGAGUACGACCGCAAGGUUGAAACUCAAAGGAAUUGACGGGGACCCGCACAAGCGGUGGAGCAUGUGGUUUAAUUCGAAGCAACGCGAAGAACCUUACCAAAUCUUGACAUCCUUUGACAACUCUAGAGAUAGAGCCUUCCCCUUCGGGGGACAAAGUGACAGGUGGUGCAUGGUUGUCGUCAGCUCGUGUCGUGAGAUGUUGGGUUAAGUCCCGCAACGAGCGCAACCCUUAAGCUUAGUUGCCAUCAUUAAGUUGGGCACUCUAAGUUGACUGCCGGUGACAAACCGGAGGAAGGUGGGGGUGACGUCAAAUCAUCAUGCCCCUUAUGAUUUGGGCUACACACGUGCUACAAUGGACAAUACAAAGGGCAGCGAAACCGCGAGGUCAAGCAAAUCCCAUAAAGUUGUUCUCAGUUCGGAUUGUAGUCUGCAACUCGACUACAUGAAGCUGGAAUCGCUAGUAAUCGUAGAUCAGCAUGCUACGGUGAAUACGUUCCCGGGUCU
rnacentral:rRNA from 1 species